UGGAAUAGUCUGAUGUGAAAGCCCACGGCUUAACCGUGGAAUUGCAUUGGAAACUGUCCAACUUGAAUGCAGAAGAGGAAAGCGGAAUUCCAUGUGUAGCGGUGAAAUGCGUAGAUAUAUGGAAGAACACCAGUGGCGAAAGCGGCUCUCUGGUCUGUAACUGACGCUGAGGUUCGAAAGCGUGGGUAGCAAACAGG
rnacentral:rRNA from 1 species